UGGACUAUGGUGUAACUGGAAACACUACAGAUUUUGGUUCUGUCAUUCGGAGUUCGAACCUCCGUGGUCCAA
rnacentral:tRNA from 1 species